CCAAUAGCGUAUAUUAAAGUUGCUGCAGUUAAAAAGCUCGUAGUUGAAUUUCGGGACCAUCAUGUCGGUCGUGCCUCGGUACGUACUGGCAUUGUUGGUUUCUCCCUUCUGACGAACCAUGAUGUCAUUUAUUUGGUGUUGUGGGGAAUCAGGACUGUUACUUUGAAAAAAUUAGAGUGUUUAGAGCAGGCUCACGCUUGAAUACAUUAGCAUGGAAUAAUGAAAUAGGACGUUUGAUUCUAUUUUGUUGGUUUCUAGGAUCGACGUAAUGAUUAAUAGGGAUAGUUGGGGGCAUUAGUAUUCAAUUGUCAGAGGUGAAAUUCUUGGAUUUAUUGAAGACUAACUACUGCGAAAGCAUUUGCCAAGGAUGUUUUCAUUAAUCAAGAACGAAAGUUAGGGGAUCGAAGACGAUCAGAUACCGUCGUAGUCUUAACCAUAAACUAUGCCGACUAGGGAUCGGAUGAUGUUAAUUUUUUAAUGACUCAUUCGGCGCCUUACG
rnacentral:rRNA from 1 species